GAUGAAGAACGCAGCGAAAUGCGAUAAGUAAUGUGAAUUGCAGAAUUCAGUGAAUCAUCGAAUCUUUGAACGCACAUUGCGCCCGCCAGUAUUCUGGCGGGCAUGCCUGUCUGAGCGUCAUUUCAACCCUCAUGCCCCUAGGGCGUGGUGUUGGGGAUCGGCCAAAGCCCGCGAGGGACGGCCGGCCCCUAAAUCUAGUGGCAGACCCGUCGUGGCCUCCUCUGCGAAGUAGUGAUAUUCCGCAUCGGAGAGCGACGAGCCCCUGCCGUUAAACCCCCAACUUUCCAAGGUUGACCUCAGAUCAGGUAGGAAUACCCGCUGAACUUAAGCAUAUCAAUAAGCGGAGGA
rnacentral:misc_RNA from 1 species